AAUGCCCUCUGGAACGGAACACGCAGCGGAAGUCCCCUGUGGGGCGGGCGGUACCCGGAAGGAGACGAGGGAGGGGGCUUGUCUGUGCUCCGUGUUGGUGCGGCUCGUCUGUGCGGGGCUCGGGUAGUGAUGAAAGAUGGGCGCGUUCUUGGCCGCGGCGAGGGGAUAGCUCUGCCUGGCUCCGGGCCCAAGGGUGCUUCUUUGGUUCCGUGGCAGAGCUCCUGGUGACUUCGAUAGGGGCGCCUGCUACUCUCCACCGUGCAGAUGUAGUGAGAGGGAGGCGCUUCGCUUGCUGCACGUUUGCUGGGGAUGCGACUUGUAAAGGAAGCAAGCCUCUCUCUCCUGAAAGGGCUGUGUGGACACCAGAUCGCCUUUGAAACCAGCUUGAAGGUUUGCGUGUUCUCUCUUCCAGACUGCAGGAGCAUUGUGCCUGAUCUGAUGUUGAUAAAAAAUGUUCAGAAAAGGAAAAAAGAGACAUAGUAGCAGCAGUUCACAGAGCAGUGAAAUCAGUACUAAAAGCAAGUCAGUGGACUCCAGUCUUGGAGGGCUUUCAAGAUCUAGCACUGUUGCUAGUCUGGAUACAGACUCCACAAAAAGUUCAGGGCAGAGCAAUAGCACUUCAGAUACUUGUGCAGAAUUUAGAGUGAAAUAUGUUGGUGCCAUUGAAAAACUGAAGCUAGAUGAAAGCAAGAGUUUGGAAGGGCCACUGGACUUGAUCAACUACAUAGAUGUGGCACAGCAAGAUGGAAAGUUACCCUUUGUUCCAGGGGAGGAAGAAUUUAUUAUGGGAGUUUCCAAAUACGGUAUCAAAGUCACAACUUUGGACCAAUAUGAUGUCCUGCAUAGACAUGCACUUUACCUAAUUGUUCGGAUGGUCUGCUAUGAUGAUGGGCUAGGGGCAGGAAAGAGUUUACUGGCUUUGAAGACAACAGAUGGAAACUAUGAAGAAUACAGCCUUUGGAUAUACCAGUGCAAUAGUCUGGAACAAGCACAAGCUAUUUGUAAGGUGUUAUCUACAGCCUUUGACUCGGUUUUAACAUCCGAGAAGUCCUGAAUGUCUACAGCUGCACUCCAUCACUGCAAGGAAGUAUUAUUGCUGUGACCUCUGCAACUGGAGAUGGAGCAAGUAUUUUGGCACAGAUGCGAACAUUAGAUAUCUGCUUGAAGAUACUGGAACAAAUAAUUUUGGGGUCCUGUCUGUGGCAUCUGCAAGACCAAACUGAUGUGCCUGUCAAAUUACUCUUCCCAUGUAAAUGGAGUGAUUCUUCCAUUCAUUUUUACAAACACUAGAUUCUCCUUGCCCAGAAAUUGUGUGUGAAGUGCACCUCUCAUAAAGAGCCAUUGCAGCACCAGCUGAGUGAUAGAAAGGAAGGUUUGCCCCACUUCUAGCCAGUUUUGAGAAGGGCGGCUUUCUUGUUCCAGAUUUACGGAGGAAUUCCUCAUAGGCAUGUAUAGGAAACAAAUAGUGUCCCCUCAGCCAUCUGAAAGGGGUGUAAAGUCCACUCCUUACCAGCGACCUUUUGGGUAGCAAGGUCCUUUGUGUUUUAUACCCUCCAGACAACUUUUGACAGGGGCUUUAUGCUUGCUUCAUGCAAAAUAAUGAAGAAAUUGCUUCAUGAAGCUGUAAGGGGAUGUGGAAUGAGAAAGAAAGAGAGAUCAGAGAGAAAGAGGGAAAGACAAGAAAAAAGGGCAAAAGAGAAUAUGGCAGGAGGGAAAGAAAGAGGAAUCCAUUGGAAAAAGAAGCAAAAACAAAACGAAGGGGAAACAAGAAAAAAAAUAAAAGAGGUGUACAUUGAUGGGCAUGAAGAUAAAAAUAAAGGGACACAUCUUAACAGUUUUUGUUAGUGUACCCCCCACCCCCUACAGCCAUCAGGUGUAGUAUCCAGGGUGCUUGUAUGAAAUGUCCAAACUCUGUUCUAAUUAAUAUAUACAAGUACCUGAUUUGUAUGGUAGAAUGUACAUAAUAUGUCUUUAAACUGGUUGAAAUCUUAAAAGGAAGCAAGUCACAUUUAAGAUUAGCAUAAAAAAAAACUUGCUUCUUUAUUAGAUUUAAAAUUUGUAGUCAUGUACUUAUACAGGCUGUCCUUCAUUUUGUUCUGAAGCUACUCUUUAUAGCUUACUGUGGUUUAAGGAUUUUUCACACUUAAUUAAAAAAAAGUCAUGCUGAGGCUUAAAA